GUGGGGAAUAUUGGACAAUGGGCGCAAGCCUGAUCCAGCCAUGCCGCGUGAGUGAUGAAGGCCCUAGGGUUGUAAAGCUCUUUCACCGGAGAAGAUAAUGACGGUAUCCGGAGAAGAAGCCCCGGCUAACUUCGUGCCAGCAGCCGCGGUAAUACGAAGGGGGCUAGCGUUGUUCGGAAUUACUGGGCGUAAAGCGCACGUAGGCGGACAUUUAAGUCAGGGGUGAAAUCCCAGAGCUCAACUCUGGAACUGCCUUUGAUACUGGGUGUCUUGAGUAUGGAAGAGGUGAGUGGAAUUCCGAGUGUAGAGGUGAAAUUCGUAGAUAUUCGGAGGAACACCAGUGGCGAAGGCGGCUCACUGGUCCAUUACUGACGCUGAGGUGCGAAAGCGUGGGGAGCAAACAGGAUUAGAUACCCGGGUAGUCC
rnacentral:rRNA from 1 species